GGCUUUAUAGUAUAAUGGCUAUUACAUCUGCCUGUCACGCAGAAAAUGGGGUUCAAUUCUCCCUAGAAUCG
rnacentral:tRNA from 2 species